GAAAUGCGAUAAGUAAUGUGAAUUGCAGAAUUCAGUGAAUCAUCGAAUCUUUGAACGCACCUUGCGCUCCUUGGUAUUCCUUGGAGCAUGCCUGUUUGAGUAUCAUGAAAUCUUCAAAGUAAAUCUUUUGUUAACUCAAUUGGUUUCUACUUUGGUAUUGGAGGUCUUUGCAGCUUCACACCUGCUCCUCUUGUUCAUUAGCUGGAUCUCAGUGUUAUGCUUGGUUCCACUCGGCGUGAUAAGUUAUCUAUCGCUGAGGACACUGUAAAAGGUGGCCAAGGUAAAUGCAGAUGAACCGCUUCUAAUAGUCCAUUGACUUGGACAAUACUUUUAUGAUCUGAUCUCAAAUCAGGUAGGACUACCCUCUGAACUUAAGC
rnacentral:misc_RNA from 1 species